UACGUAGGCAGCAAGCGUUGUUCGGAGUUACUGGGCGUAAAGGGUGUGUAGGCGGUCCUCUAAGUUUGGUGUGAAAUCUCCCGGCUCAACUGGGAGGGUGCGCCGAAAACUGGAGGGCUAGAGUACUGGAUGGGAGAGUGGAAUUCCUGGUGUAGCGGUGAAAUGCGCAGAUAUCAGGAGGAACACCAAUGGCGAAGGCAGCUCGCUGGGACGUGACUGACGCUGAGACGCGAAAGCGUGGGGAGCAAACAGG
rnacentral:rRNA from 1 species